rnacentral:misc_RNA from 1 species
GUGAAGAACGCAGCGAAAUGCGAUAAGUAAUGUGAAUUGCAGAAUUCAGUGAAUCAUCGAAUCUUUGAACGCACAUUGCGCCCCCUGGUAUUCCGGGGGGCAUGCCUGUUCGAGCGUCAUUACAACCCUCAAGCUCUGCUUGGUGUUGGGCCCCGCCGCCCCGGCGGGCCCUAAAAUCAGUGGCGGUGCCGUCCGGCUCCGAGCGUAGUAAUUCUUCUCGCUCUGGAGGUCCGGGUGUGUGCUCGCCAGCAACCCCCAAUUUUUUUCAGGUUGACCUCGGAUCAGGUAGGGAUACCCGCUGAACUUAAGCAUAUCAAUAAGCGGAGGA